CCCAAGAGAUCGGGAUAACACCUGGAAACAGAUGCUAAUACCGGAUAACAACAGAUGAUGCCUAUCAACUGUUUAAAAGAUGGUUCUGCUAUCACUCUUGGAUGGACCUGCGGUGCAUUAGCUAGUUGGUAGGGUAACGGCCUACCAAGGCGAUGAUGCAUAGCCGAGUUGAGAGACUGAUCGGCCACAUUGGGACUGAGACACGGCCCAAACUCCUACGGGAGGCAGCAGGAU
rnacentral:rRNA from 1 species